rnacentral:tRNA from 1 species
AAGGAUUUAAGUUAAACUAAACUAAUAGCCUUCAAAGCUAUAAAUAAAUAAGGAAAUUUUAAGCCUUA